AGGUAUACCAGGACAUGACGGUACUCCAGGUUUGCCUGGGGAUAAAGGAAUAAGAGGCGAUAAAGGGGAAACAGGCGAUAAAGGAAAGCAAGGUGGAUAUGGACAUCAAGGACCAAUUGGACCUGUAGGACCAAAAGGACCUACAGGAAACAAAGGACCAAAUGGACAUGCGGGUCCAAAUGGCAAACCCGGAGUAAAUGGCAAAGAUGGAAAAGAUGGUACAAACGGAUCUAACGGAAUACCGGGUACAGACGGCAAAAAUGGUGUUAUCAAAGUUAUAUUUGGCAGUGGCGGCUAUGGAGGUUCUAACUACAAGAUUGGAUCCCUACAAAAACAACAAAUUACAUCAAAGAUCAUAGCUGGACAAUAUCCGUCGGUAGUUGGACAUGGACAUGGACAUCAUAAUUCAGGGUGGUCAUCUUGGUCAGCGUGGAGCAAACCAGCACAUUCAUGGACCUCAUGGAGAGGAUGAAAAGCGUAGUGAAUUUACUCAUAGAUAUCAUAAUUGGAAUAUACUUCUGUAAUUAAAUGCAAUAAACUAUACAUAUUUUGA